CACAAACCCUAAACUCCAUUGAGAUUUGGAGGAUUGUGUUAACUUUAGGGGGCGUCCGUCACUUGAGAGCUUGUAUCGGUAGUGGCGAAAUUUGCUUCUAAGUCAGUGACCUUCAUACCACGGCACAAUCAUUGUAAUCCGGAGAUUAUCAAUCAAUUGCGGCUGAGUGGGAGAUAUUGAGCGGGGAAGGAAGGAGCAAAGGCGGCGUUUUAUCUCAUUGCGUGCAAGCUUGCCGUCGUCUUCAUCGGAGGUUGUCAAAACUUAGUCUGCAACCUUUAAAUCUCCGGCAAGGCAGACGUGUUUGUGUGGAGAAGACAGGUCCUUAUCGGUUUGACGGCGAUGUUUCAGAAGCUUUGAAGCAUAAGCAGAGAAACAAGUUCUUGAAUGAAACUUUUUGGGUCAUGGUCGUAAGGGAAACAAUGACUGGUUUCUCUUUACCAAGGCCCAUUAUCUAAGUGUAUUUAUUGAUUUAGUUUAGUAAUGAUUAAAUAGGUUUUAGUUAUGUCUUUAGUUAAUAAUAUUUAUUUUUAGUUGUAUUUUUGUUAUAUUUAGUUAUGAAAUUAUAGGAUUUAGUUA